rnacentral:rRNA from 1 species
UACGUAGGGGGCGAGCGUUGUCCGGAUUUAUUGGGCGUAAAGAGCGUGUAGGCGGUUCGGUAAGUCUGUCGUGAAAUCCUGAGGCUCAACCUCGGACGUGCGAUGGAUACUGCCGGGCUAGAGGAUGGUAGAGGCGAGUGGAAUUCCCGGUGUAGCGGUGAAAUGCGCAGAUAUCGGGAGGAACACCAGUAGCGAAGGCGGCUCGCUGGGCCAUUCCUGACGCUGAGGUGCGAAAGCGUGGGGAGCAAACAGG